UACGUAGGGUGCGAGCGUUAAUCGGAAUUACUGGGCGUAAAGCGUGCGCAGGCGGUGAUGUAAGACCGAUGUGAAAUCCCCGGGCUUAACCUGGGAACUGCAUUGGUGACUGCAUUGCUGGAGUAUGGCAGAGGGGGGUGGAAUUCCACGUGUAGCAGUGAAAUGCGUAGAGAUGUGGAGGAAUACCAAAGGCGAAGGCACUCUUCUGGGAAGUUCCUGACGCUCAGGUGCGAAAGCUGAGGGGAGCGAACGGGG
rnacentral:rRNA from 1 species